GGUUGACCUCGGAUCAGGUAGGGAUACCCGCUGAACUUAAGCAUAUCAAUAAGCGGGAGGAA
rnacentral:rRNA from 1 species